rnacentral:snoRNA from 1 species
UUGAAUAUUUUAAACCGGCACUGAUGUUGGGAUUAUCAGUGCCGGGUAAAUAUUUUUAAUUGGCACUGAUAUAUCAGUGCCGGUUCAAUUUUUUUAUCCGGCACUGAUGUUAUGAUACUGCGCGGGAAAA